CCUACGGCGGGGCAGCAGUGGGGAAUAUUGCACAAUGGGGGAAACCCUGAUGCAGCGACGCCGCGUGAGUGAAGAAGUAUUCCGGUACGUAAAGCUCUUUCAGCAGGGAAGAAAAUGACGGUACCUGACUACGAAGCCCCGGCUCACUACGUGCCAGCAGCCGCGGUAAUCCGGAGGGGGCAAGCGUUAUCCGGAUUUACGGGGUGUAAAGGGAGCGUAGACGGCAGCACAAGUCUGGAGUGAAAUCCCGGGGCUUAACCCCGGAACUGCUGUGGAAACUGGGCGGCUGGAGUGCAGGAGGGGUAAGCGGAAUUCCUAGUGUAGCGGUGAAAUGCGUAGAUAUUAGGAGGAACACCGGUGGCGAAGGCGGCUUACUGGACUGUAACUGACGUUGAGGCUCGAAAGCGUGGGGAGCAAACAGGAUUAGAUACCCCUGUAGUC
rnacentral:rRNA from 1 species